UAACGUUGGUCUGUAUUUCAA
rnacentral:piRNA from 1 species